rnacentral:rRNA from 1 species
AUGGCCGGCGACUUACUUCCAGACGUUGAGGAUCUUGUUGUGCCCGGCGAAGACGCUGUGGAGCGCGUCGCGGACGGACUGCUCACAGUGAUAGCUGCCGCAGAUGAACUCGUUGUCCUGCAGCUAAACAAAUACAUGCUCAAAUAUGUUACCUAUUCUCUAGAACAGCGGUGCGCCAAGUCCGUCCCCGUCAAGCUCGGCGACGCCCUCUUCUUCCUCUACCCGCCCAGCCAGGACAACACCAUGCAGCUCACCGCCAAGGCCUUCGCCGCCUGCGACCCGCUGCUCAAGCUGGAGGACGGCAACUCCGUCUUCAACCUCACCAAGCCCGGGCGGGCCUACUUCAGCAGCGUCGCCCUGGGGCGCUGCCGCAAGGGCCAGAAGUUCAAGCUGCAAUGA